AGUGAACGCUGGCGGUAGGCCUAACACAUGCGAGUCGAACGGCAGCACAGUAAGAGCUUGCUCUUACGGGUGGCGAGUGGCGGACGGGUGAGGAAUACAUCGGAAUCUACUUUUUCGGGGGGGAUAACGGAGGGAAACUUACGCUAAUACCGAAUACGACCUACGGGUGAAAGCAGGAGAGCUUCGGGCCUUGCGCGACUGAAUGAGCCGAUGUCGGAUUAGCUAGUUGGCGGGGUAAAGGCCCACCAAGGCGACGAUCCGUAGCUGGCCUGAGAGGAUGAUCAGCCACACUGGAACUGAGACACGGUCCAGACUCCUACGGGAGGCAGCAGUGGGGAAUCUUGGACAAUGGGCGCAAGCCUGAUCCAGCCAUACCGCGUGGGUGAUGAAGGCCUUCGGGUUGUAAAGCCCUUUUGUUGGGAAAGAAAAGCAGCAGGUGAAUACCCCGCUGUUCUGACGGUACCCAAAGAAUAAGCACCGGCUAACUUCGUG
rnacentral:rRNA from 1 species